GUGAACAUACCACUUGUUGCCUCGGCGGAUCAGCCCGCUCCCGGUAAAACGGGACGGCCCGCCAGAGGACCCCUAAACUCUGUUUCUAUAUGUAACUUCUGAGUAAAACCAUAAAUAAAUCAAAACUUUCAACAACGGAUCUCUUGGUUCUGGCAUCGAUGAAGAACGCAGCAAAAUGCGAUAAGUAAUGUGAAUUGCAGAAUUCAGUGAAUCAUCGAAUCUUUGAACGCACAUUGCGCCCGCCAGUAUUCUGGCGGGCAUGCCUGUUCGAGCGUCAUUUCAACCCUCAAGCACAGCUUGGUGUUGGGACUCGCGUUAAUUCGCGUUCCUCAAAUUGAUUGGCGGUCACGUCGAGCUUCCAUAGCGUAGUAGUAAAACCCUCGUUACUGGUAAUCGUCGCGGCCACGCCGUUAAACCCCAACUUCUGAAUGUUGACCUCGGAUCAGGUAGGAAUACCCGCUGAACUUAAGCAUAUCAAUAAGCCGGAGGAA
rnacentral:rRNA from 1 species